GGAGGAUCGGGGAUAACACCCUGGGAACAGAUGCUAAUACCGGGAUAACAACAGAUGAUGCCCUAUCAACUGUUUAAAAGAUGGGUUCUGCUAUCACUCUCGGGAUGGGACCCUGCGGUGCAUUAGCUAGUUGGUAGGGUAACGGCCUACCAAGGCGAUGAUGCAUAGCCGAGUUGAGAGACUGAUCGGCCACAUUGGGACUGAGACACGGCCCAAACUCCUACGGGAGGCAGCAGUAGGGAAUCUUCCACGAUGGACGCAAGUCUGAUGGAGCAACGCCGCGUGAGUGAAGAAGGGUUUCGGCUCGUAAAGCUCUGUUGUUGGUGAAGAAGGACAGGGGUAGUAACUAACCUUUGUUUGACGGUAAUCAAUUAGAAAGUCACGGCUAACUACGUGCCAGCAGCCGCGGUAAU
rnacentral:rRNA from 1 species